UACGUAGGGUGCAAGCGUUAAUCGGAAUUACUGGGCGUAAAGCGUGCGCAGGCGGUGAUGUAAGACAGAUGUGAAAUCCCCGGGCUCAACCUGGGAACUGCAUUUGUGACUGCAUCGCUGGAGUACGGCAGAGGGGGAUGGAAUUCCGCGUGUAGCAGUGAAAUGCGUAGAUAUGCGGGGGAACACCGAUGGCGAAGGCAAUCCCCUGGGCCUGUACUGACGCUCAUGCAUGAAAGCGUGGGGAGCAAACAGG
rnacentral:rRNA from 1 species